UUUACACAAUCUGAAUGAAGAUGAGCUUGCUGGGUUUGAAGAAGCAUGGAAUGGUAAUGUCAAAGGAAAGUGGCUUGGCUCAAGUAAUCAAUUUGAUUUCAAUGGUAAUAGAUGUAACCUUGGUUGCCUCCUUAUGAGAUGAGGUCCUUGGUUUAGAUUUUGUUCUCCUUUUUUGGCUCUUGCUUGUUUUUAUGUUCAUUUUACUUGAGGAUUACUAGAUAUUGUUGUGUCAAACACGCUAGUCUGAGAGCUGUAUGAAUCAUCUUUCCCUUGGGUUCAGUUUGCCCUUUAGAAAGAACGAGGGUUUGAGUACAGAAUCAUGGACACACAGCAUUAGCCUUUUUAUUAUUGUAAAUUUAGUUGGUUGAUUAUUGCAAACUGCUUUUCCUUGCACCACCAUUGGAAAUUAGUGGCAUACCUUUGGUAAGCAUAUGACAAUAUGGGUCUGGACAGCACUGAUGAGAGAAAUUAUCGACUGACCUAAUAGAUUCAUUUCUGGGCAUCUAUGUGAUCUCGAAUUUUUUUUUGAAUUUUUAUUAUUCUUAUUAUUUUUUGUUUCUGCUUGUAAUGACACAAUUGAGGAUGGCAAUGUAGGUUCUAGCACCAGUGAACAGAAGGAGAUGGCAACUUGGGGCGGUUGGGCACUUCCAACAGUACAAAAUCCCCGAAAUACUGGAGCAACUUCUGCAGGAAAAGGCAAAAAAGUUAUUAGGAUCAACAUUGAGUAAUCGAUUUGCAUAUUGCCUAUAAUAGAAUUAAGCCUGGAACGGGGCAUUUGUUUGGCGUGAGGCGCCAGCGUGGUGUAAGGCCAUGGUGAAUACCGAAUUGAUGUGUAUCCUUGUACAUAGCAGCCAGACAUUCGAUUACAUGGCUUUAAAAAUAUAUUCUAUGUUUGAAUUUCUCAUGUCUUCGUUACCAAGUCGGAUCAGGAUGCUUAUUUUUGCAAUUUGCAAAAGACAAAUUAGAGAUAGUACAAUUGAGAAUUUAUGGACUGCUAGUGUUAAGCCUAAUGCUUUCUUUUGUAUGUGGUUUAUCAUUUCCGGUACAAUUACCAGAGAAUUUACUGUAUAACAUAUACACCGCUGAGUUAUGCUUUGUGUAAGGGGAUAGUUUCAAUUGGUGAUUGAUUUUGUGAGUC
rnacentral:misc_RNA from 1 species